UGGGCGGCCGGCAGCCCGGCAGGUGCUGACCUUACCCUGCGAGCCCUGUGCCCCGGGGGCUCCUUGAGCCCGGCCCUCGCUGUGCUCCCGCGCUGUGAAGCAGGGCCCCACCCUCGAGAGCUCGCCGCUCGAAGCUCCGGUUUCCCAAGGCGAGGCCCCUGUCCCCACGUUCUUGGAGAGCCCAGAUAUGGACAGAAACCCCGAAAGGCAGGGGCAGAUUUGUUUGAAAAAUCUUGGCGGUGGCUUGCCAACAAGUUCGGAGAGAUUUUGGUGCACAGCUACAGACUGAGCUGGUUGACUUGCACAUUCUAAGUGGAAACUUUAUUUUUUUUUUCCCUCUGUGUUUUUCAGAAAUCCUGUUUGCAAGGUCAUUAAUCACCUUAUCCAUUAUCCCAGGAACAAAUGGAUUUGUCGCUUGAGCUCAGAAGCCGAGGUUGAUUCUGAAAACAAAUUGUAUCAAAAUAAAUGAAAUUAUUAUGAUAAUAUAAAAUAGACCACAGUGAUUAAUCUCCAGAAACCAAAUUUUGACCUGUUUUGCACUUCAAAACAAUAGCUUCUGUUAUGUAAAUACUUGUGGGGUUUUCAAGGACAACAUUUACUAAAUUACAAGAAAAGUUCUUUUCGUGAAAAAUCUCCCCGUGGAUAAACAUUAGAGAUAGAAAAUCCGGUCUACACAACACCCAAGGCAGAGGACAAUGGAAGUGAUGGUGGUUCAGGAAUCACUUCAAUUCCCUGACUACUUGGUUGGCUUUCUUUGAGAUUCCUUCCAGAUAUCUGGCCUUUUCACCCUGGAGUUCCUGCAUCCAGAGUGGCUCUUCUGUAAAGAAAAAGACCAUAAAAAGCAGAGUAUGAAAUUUGGAGGGCCUCUUCAACAGCAUAUAAAGAGACUCUUAUCUGCUGCAUCCACAAGGUGGGAAAAGUCAGGCCCAGGACUUUGUCGUGGGAGUGGCCCCAAUCCUCCAAAAUGGAUUGAGUUCUUAACCUCCGCAGAUCUGCUGUAUCAAUUCAGGAGCUGAGGUGGGAAGGAGGCACCCUGAGGACUGAGAUGGUGUCAUUCUGGUGGAUGCACUUGACAACCUUGAAGCCCCAGAUCCCUCGAAACCCCAUGACCCUGCUCCGGUGAGCCACCCCUCCAGCUAGAGGUUAGCUGGAAGACCAUGCAGACAGAAGCAGUUGCCUUUCAAAGCCCUGUAUACUCCUCUCAGGAUGUACACCUGCCUCUCCUCCCAGCACCAAACCAAAAUCAGGGGUCAAGUCUUAACAACACAGCUGGGGAAGUGUAAGACACCUGCCAAAGGAUGGAAGUGACUGUCCCCAGGAGAAGAGUUCAUAGGGCCUGGAUCCUGGAGGUAUGGACCACCCAGGGAUAGGGGCACAAGAUUGCACAAGGGAGAGUUUGUUGAUGUGGAAGCACUUCUAUAUCCAUAUACCACAUGUGACCCCUGGGAGAAAGUGCCAAAGUGCUGCAAAGAUAGAUCUUGGAAGCUUGGAGACAGCAGUGGUACACAUCAGAUGAAGCAGAAAUUUCCGUGCCACUGUGGCAGAUGAGGAAGCAAGAGUCAAAGGCUUGGAGGUGCACAUUCCCCAGUACGCUAACUGCGUACAGAAACCCAGCUUCAAAAAACAACUUAAAAUGGCCAGGAAGACGGCAGUAGUUCAGAUCCUUUGGAGUCCCAGCCAUCUUAGAGCUCAAGAUAAGUUUGUGAGCAUUGCGAAGCAAAAGAAAAAAAAGAAAGAGAUUCACCAUCUAGCCAGCUGCGUAAAGAAGAAAUCCAUUCCCACCUGUCUGCAUUUGAUUGAACCUCCAUGAACCGCCAAUGCCACGCACCCUGGAGGAACCAGAUUAAAGACCUACAGGAGACAUCAUAUAGAUCUUCUUAGACAGGUGCUUUUCACACCUCUGCAGUUUAUCUAAGGCUCACUUCACAAAGACUUGGAGGGAGCCCUGCCCUUCCUGAAGCACAUGAAGUAAAAUAAACCCAGAGCUAAAGGUAAGAUGCUCAAGACUCAAACUCAGAAUUGUGUGAAUGACAGACAGAAGGGAGAUAGGCAGCCUCCUUUUACUAAAACCCUCUAUCUCUGACGUUUCCCAUAUUCAGUGGAAAUCAUCAUUGUUCACUUAUUUGUUCAUUUAUUCACUCAGCCCAUUUGAAUGGAGUGCCUACUGUGUGCAGGGUGCCAUGCUGGGAGCAUACACAAUCUCUGGCAGGACUGUGGAAAUGACUCUCUACCCUAUAAGUUAUGUCUGGCCCUAUAGGUGUGAUAACUGUGUGGAUCCAUCUCAUUGCUUACACCCAAUUAUUUGGAAGGAUAAGAGUCCUUAAAUCUAGUCUGCCCAGUCAUCUCAAAUACUUUAGGUGAGGGUAGAUGUGUAAUCCAAUAGAUAAAAUCUCACUUAGACCAAAUAUGUUUGUGAUUCAAACUUCUAAUAAAAAUCUUAAAAUUCCAGAA